GAUGAACGCUGGCGGCGUGCCUAAUACAUGCAAGUCGAGCGAACAGAUGAGGAGCUUGCUCCUCUGACGUUAGCGGCGGACGGGUGAGUAACACGUGGAUAACCUACCUAUAAGACUGGGAUAACUUCGGGAAACCGGAGCUAAUACCAGAUAAUAUAUUGAACCGCAUGGUUCAAUAGUGAAAGACGGUUUUGCUGUCACUUAUAGAUGGAUCCGCGCCGCAUUAGCUAGUUGGUAAGGUAACGGCUUACCAAGGCAACGAUGCGUAGCCGACCUGAGAGGGUGAUCGGCCACACUGGAACUGAGACACGGUCCAGACUCCUACGGGAGGCAGCAGUAGGGAAUCUUCCGCAAUGGGCGAAAGCCUGACGGAGCAACGCCGCGUGAGUGAUGAAGGUCUUCGGAUCGUAAAACUCUGUUAUUAGGGAAGAACAAAUGUGUAAGUAACUAUGCACGUCUUGACGGUACCUAAUCAGAAAGCCACGGCUAACUACGU
rnacentral:rRNA from 1 species